rnacentral:rRNA from 1 species
UGCGUAGGUGGUUUCUUAAGUCAGAGGUGAAAGGCUACGGCUCAACCGUAGUAAGCCUUUGAAACUGGGAAACUUGAGUGCAGGAGAGGAGAGUGGAAUUCCUAGUGUAGCGGUGAAAUGCGUAGAUAUUAGGAGGAACACCAGUGGCGAAGGCGGCCUGCUGGACUGUUACUGACACUGAGGCACGAAAGCGUGGGGAGCAAACA